ACCUGGUUGGUUUAGUCAGUAGAGCACUAGACUCUUGAUCUGGGGGUUGUGAGUUAAACCCCCACAUAGGGGG
rnacentral:tRNA from 1 species